GCUUAACACAUGCAAGUCGAGCGCACCCUUCGGGGUGAGCGGCAGACGGGUGAGUAACGCGUGGGAACGUGCCCUUUGGUUCGGAAUAGCCCUUGGAAACGAGGAGUAAUGCCGAAUGUGCCCUUCGGGGGAAAGAUUUAUCGCCAAAGGAUCGGCCCGCGUUAGAUUAGCUUGUUGGUGAGGUAACGGCUCACCAAGGCGACGAUCUAUAGCUGGUCUGAGAGGAUGAUCA
rnacentral:rRNA from 1 species